rnacentral:rRNA from 1 species
AAUGAACGUUGGCGGCGUGGAUUAGGCAUGCAAGUCGAGCGAGAACCGUAGCAAUACGGGGACAGCGGCGUAAGGGAGAGUAAUACGUGGAUACGUACCCUCGGGUUCGGGAUAGCUACGGGAAACUGUAGGUAAUACCGAAUAACAUCUCCGGAUCAACGGUGUGAUUCCGCCCGAGGAGCGGUCCGCGUCCUAUUAGCAUGUUGGCGAGGUAACGGCUCACCAAGGCUGUGAUGGGUACGGGGUGUGAGAGCAUGCCCCCGCUCACUGGGACUGAGACACUGCCCAGACACCUACGGGUGGCUGCAGUCGAGAAUCUUCGGCAAUGGGCGCAAGCCUGACCGAGCGACGCCGCGUGCGAGAUGAAGGCCUUCGGGUUGUAAAUCGCUGUCGGAGGGGAGGAAAUGCCGGUGGGUUCUCCCAUCGGUUUGACCUAGCCUCAGAGGAAGGACGGGCUAAGUUCGUGCCAGCAGCCGCUGUAACAC